AGUGCAGCCUGAGUCAACCAUUGUCUCCACUGCAGGCUUAGAGCCAUGUCCUUAGCGCCCCCUCUAGGCUGCAUGCAGAGUGCCAACAAUCAGCCCUCCAUUCCUUGAGUAGAGUGAAUUUAUUUGCUCUUAUUUCCAGAGGCAAUCUCAUAUCUUUCAAAGACUCUAAGGGGAAAGGCCAGAGAGGCGAUUCUCCUGCUUGAGCCUCAAGGGGUUUGGUGCAUAUAUCCUCCUGCGCACAAAAGGGAGUCCUGGGAUCUUUAUUUUCUGUCUCAGUGGUUUUUUCCAUCUGCUGUGAGAUACAGCCAGGACAUCUGAAGUGAGGCCAAAUCCAGCUAGUUUGGCUGAUUUUAAGCAGGGUAUCUCAGCGCUGGCAAACAGAAGGGUAAUGGGAAUUAGAAGGAGGGGAAAAACAGCAAUAAAAAUAUAAAUCAAAGAAAGAAGGAAAUCCAUUUGCUCCUUGGCAGCAGAGACAGUGCUCAACUAAUCCAUGCUGAGUGCAAUCCAAUACUCCUUUAUAUAAUCCUGUGCCGGUGGAAGAAAAUUAAAGUUUAAUGCAAUAACGGCUGACACAAAUCACUUUUGUUGCCCAGAAGCAGAUUAAAGAAUAGUUAAAAUCA